GAACUACCUUAAAGGGACAGCACAUAUACUAAAGUUGGAGCAAUACUGAGAAGAUUAGCGUGAACCCUGCUCAAGGAUGACGUGCAAAUUCCAGACGCAAUCCAUUUUUUG